rnacentral:rRNA from 1 species
CACGUAGGCACCAAGCGUUGUCCGGAUUUAUUGGGCGUAAAGAGCUCGUAGGCGGUUCGUUAUGUCGGAUGUGAAAGCCCUUGGCUUAACCGAGGAAGUGCAUCCGAAACUGGCGAGCUAGAGUACGAAAGAGGAUCGCGGAAUUCCCGGUGUAGAGGUGAAAUUCGUAGAUAUCGGGAGGAACACCGGUGGCGAAGGCGGCGAUCUGGGUCGAUACUGACGCUGAGGUGCGAAAGCGUGGGGAGCAAACAGG